rnacentral:rRNA from 2 species
AAAUUGAAGAGUUUGAUCAUGGCUCAGAUUGAACGCUGGCGGCAGGCCUAACACAUGCAAGUCGAACGGUAACAGGAAGCAGCUUGCUGCUUCGCUGACGAGUGGCGGACGGGUGAGUAAUGUCUGGGAAACUGCCUGAUGGAGGGGGAUAACUACUGGAAACGGUAGCUAAUACCGCAUAAUGUCGCAAGACCAAAGAGGGGGACCUUCGGGCCUCUUGCCAUCGGAUGUGCCCAGAUGGGAUUAGCUUGUUGGUGGGGUAACGGCUCACCAAGGCGA